AUGUUAUACGCAUGCAUUUUAUCUUCUGGAAUCUGUAACAAUAUUCAAAAUGACCUUGCUGAAAUCAUUUGUUGCUACUUGCUGUCUCCCACUCAGCCCCUGGUUUGCGUAACCUGAACCCUCCAAUAAAGGCUGAGGCUGUGGACACUCUUCCUUUUAAUCUGCAUUCAGGCUGAGCAUUGUGCACACGGCGCCAUGUUCCACUCAGAACACCCAGCAUCAUUGGGUUAACAGAUGCCUCCAUUUAUUUCAUUUCUUAUUUUGUUUCUGAGCAUGUGUUGUUUUCAUUACAAUACUGAAGAAAAGGUUUGCAUACCUCUUAGGCUUGCUUUUUGUAUGUCUAACAUUUACUGAUCUAACAAAGAGGUGAAGUUUCUUGAUUGAAGAUUGCAAUAAGCCUCUGCAUUGCUUUAUUGAAACGUGAAGAAGAAGAAAAAGAAGAAGAAGAAGAAGAAGAAGAAGAAGAAGAAGAAGAAGAAGAAGAAGAAGAAAGCUAUUUUUUAUCCUGUGAAAGCAAUGCUGCUUAGUCCACAAUGAAACUGCUGGUGUAGCAAAGGACAUUCUGCUGAAAGUUACUGAUAAAAAGUUGGUCAUAGGUUAUUUAUCCUGUGAAAGCAAUGCUGCUAAGUCAACAAUGAAAAUUGUGGGGCAUCAAAGGACAUUCCGCUGAAAAUAACUGAUAAAGUUGGCCAUAGGUUUCCCCGCCCUGCUCUCUCAUUUGUUCGGAGUAUUUAAGCACUCCCUCCUUUUGUGCCAACAAAAGACAUUUUAUUGGAAACACGAACUUCAUUUUUCUCACUCGAGUUUUUCCUUUCGCCACAAGAGUGUUGAUCAGAACUGAACAAGCACAGAAGCAGGAAAUGGCACUUAGCAAAGACCGUGGCAUUACAAUGAAUGAUGGGAACAAAAUCCCCGCAUUGGGGUUUGGAACCUAUACCCCAGACACUGUAAGUAACACAUUUAACUCUCAGAUUGUUGUAACUUGUUUUUGAAGAGCAAAAUGCCAUCUGGUAGCACAAUGUUAUAUCGCACAUGCAACACAUACUGUAUACAUAAAUUGCUUUUUCUUUACGCUUUUUCUUUCUUUUCAUUUAAUGUGUUUGGGGCCAGCCUAGCUGAGUCCCUGAGACUCAGGUCUAGUUUGAAAAUGUCCACCGAUACUCAGUGUUACUUACAGGUACCCUCUGAUAUUAAUUUCCCCACUGAAGCAGAGACCUUGACUAACCUUUUCACCUUUUCAACCGGCAGGUUCCAAAAAGUAAGUGUGAGGAGGCUGCAAAGAUAGCAAUAGAAUACGGCUUCCGUCUUAUUGAUAGUGCAUAUGUAUACCAGACAGAGGAGCACGUUGGGCGGGCCGUUCGUGCGAAGAUUGCAGACGGAACAAUAAAAAGGGAAGACAUUUUCUACACUGGAAAAGUGAGUGAGUUUGGCAUUAAAAAAAAAAAAAGAGUACAGUGGUACCUCUGGUUGCGUACUUAAUUCGUUCCGGAGGUCCGUUCUUAACCUGGAACCGUUCUUAACCUGAGGUACCAAUUUAGCGAAUGGGGCCUCCCGCUGCCAACGCACCACUGGUGCAGGAUUUUUGUUCUCAUCCUGAGGUAAAGUUCUUAACCUGAGGUACUACUUCCGGGUUAGCAGUGUCUGUAACCCGAAGUGUCUGUAACCCAAGGUACCACUGUAAAAUAUAGUGCCUGCAUCAUGAUGCAAUCUUUUGAUGAAGGGCAAUAUAUAAAUUUCAUAAAUAAAUGGUAAAAAUACUGUUUAUUAGCAAUGAUGACUUUAAAUUUGCUUUACCUCACCACAGCAAUUCAAAAUACUCUUCAGAACAAUAUUUGAGUGUGUCCUUAACACUGUGCACACUGGAAUAGUCAUCUGCCAGAGCUAAACUGUCCUGAGACCCAAAAACUCUAUGGCUGUGUGAAAAUAUAAAUCUCUUUAUAUUUUUGACAGCUCUGGAGUACUUUCCACCGCCCAGAGCUAGUUCGGAAAAGCGUGGAAGAAUCCCUGAAGAAACUCCAGUUUGACUACAUGGAUCUGUUCUUAAUGCACAAUCCGUAUUCUAUGAAGGUAAAUAAUUAUUGAUGUCAUAAUGCAAGUACUGAGUACAAUAUUUGAUUGGGAGGGGAGAGCCUACUAAAAAUAUUUGAUUCCCUGAAGGAACAUUGGGAAUUGUUAUUUCCUAGAGAUGCUGACAGUUCUCUGCUUUACUAUAUCUCAAUCAAGGGAUGACCGCUCCCAGAUUUGGGGGGAGAAACCAUGCCAGUUAAAGAAAACAGCUGCAUAUACUUAUUACAUUAACUACAUGGGCAUCAUAUGUAAGAAAUCAUCUGCAUAGCAGGACUUGGCGAGGGAGCGAGGGAAGAAAAAAGGGGUUGGAGAGAUGGGGAGACAGACCUGUGCAGAGAGAGAAGACAGUUUGUUCUAUGGGGGGGAGAUUAAAGCAUGUUUGGGUAACCUGUGGCCUUCCAGAUGUUGCUCAAUUGCAACUCCUAUCAUCCCUGAUCACUGUCCUUGCUGGCUGCAGCUGAUGGGACUUGGAGGCCAGCAAAGCCUGGAGAUCCACUGAUUCCCACCCCUGGGUUAAAAGAGACAAUACUGAGUUAAUAUUGCAAUGGGGGUAUGCUGGUGGAGAUGUAGACUAAACCACUGAGGUUCUUGGGCUUGUCGAUCAGAAGGUCGGCGGUUUAAAUCCCUGCAAUGGGGUGAGCUCCCAUUGCUCUGUCCCAGCUUCUGCCAACCUACCAGUUAGAAAUCACGCCAGUGUAAAUAGAUAAAUUAGUACCAUUGUGGCAGGAAAGUAAAUGGUGUUUCCGUGUGCUCUGGUUUCCGUCAUGGUAUUCCAUUGUGCCAGAAGAGGUUUAGUCAUGCUGGCCACAUGACCCGGAAAGCUGUCUGAGGAUAAAUGCCAGCUAUCUCGGUAUGGAAGCGAAAUGAGCACCGUAACUCCAUAGUCACCUUUCACUGGACUUAACUGUCUAGGGGUCCUUUACCUUUACCUUUACCUAAUAUUUCACCGUAAGUAUUUUUUCCAGGAUAAAGUAACACUUUAUCCCUCUUGAAUAAACAAGAAUGUGAAAUGUGGUGCUUGUGAACCUCUAAGCCUGAAAUGCACUCAUUCCCUCCCCCUCCUUCUUUUCCAGCCUGGACCAGAUUUUUAUCCCUUGACAGAAGACAAAAAAUUGAUUAUUGACAACGUAGAUCUUCGUCAGACAUGGGAGGUAGGAAAUUAGGAAAUCCAUCCCUUGAGUCAUUCAGAUACAGAGCACAGUAGCCUUCCGCCAGAGGAGGCAUGUCCAGAACAAUGACUCACACAAUGGCUCCUAUGAGAGCUGGUGAACUAUAAGACUCCAAUCUUAGUCUGGAAAAAGGUGUGGCCUCAGCUAUUCAACAAACACCACUCAACAAACAUGUUGUGUUUUCUUUGCCAGGCAAUGGAGGCGUGCAAAGAUGCCGGCUUGGUGAGGUCCAUCGGAGUGUCCAACUUCACCCGUAAGCAGCUGGAAUUGAUCCUCAACAAGCCAGGGUUGAAAUACAAGCCAGUGAUAAACCAGGUCAAGUGUGAUUGCCUUUUGUAGGGGUUUGUUCCAAGCAUGGUUGAAAGCUUCUUUAUUUAAGCUCUUUUGUGAGAGGACCUUUCUUUUGAUGAACACAGCCAUUCUCUGAAAAAACUUGCUUAAGGCUAUAAGGUUGCAGAUCCAGUCACAAGAAGAUAUGGUUAUGAGUUGUGGGGUGGACUCCCCUAAAUUCCUGGAACCAGUAAUGGGUUCUCAUUUAAUCAAGAUUUUUGAAUCCUCAGACAAAGGAAGUGUGGAGAAGUCCAUAAUGUUUGAAACAAGCAUCUCAGGUAGAAGGAGGCCUGCAAGCAGUCAGUGUCAGGAUCAUUCUACAAGCAAGUAGGACUCCGAUAGAGACACAUGCCCGACUGGCAUGUUCUCUCCCUCCUGGUCAGUCGUUCGGGAGCUUCAAAAGCUUUCUCCAGUCCGAACAUCACAGCGACUGAUACCAAGAGGCAUCAGCACGCUUAGGAACAGCAGAGUGUUAUCAAUUCGCGUGACAGACUCAGCAGCGCAGCAUUCUGGCUAAUCUACUUUAUUAACAUAUCAUACACUCAAUUUGAUUGGAAAUUUCAGUUGAUUGAGACCCUGAUAAAGCAGAGUCCCAGAUCAUCUGCUCAGCUUGCUGGAAAGCCACGCAAAUCCCCCAUCAGAUCUUUCUGCUCAGAAUAGAAAAUUCAGAGACUGAGUGGCCAGAAAUAGAGACACUGUAGGCAGGACAGUGUGCCCAUGAUAUUUCUUCUUUGGGCUAAGACAUAUUUCAUGGAUGAGGAGUAUGGAUGGAAACCACAAAUGCAAGAAUGGUCCUCUAAAGAUUCUGAUGCAUCAGAAAACACAACACACUUUAAGAAUGGUAACAACAGGAUAUUUCAAGAAAUAAUAGCAUGGUUCUGCUUUUCUGCCUUUCCUUUAUUUCAUGGUAUUCUUUGUUUCACCUGAAUUCUCACUUUUGGGUUGUGUUGGGGGAUUUUGAAUCUACAGGUUGAAUGCCAUCCUUAUCGGAACCAAAGCAAGCUGCUGGCCUUCUGCAAGUCAAACGAUAUCAUCCUAGAAGGAUAUUGUGUCCUGGGAUCCCAAAGGGACCCAAAAUGGUAAGAGAUGAAGCCAAAACGUUUGAGGACCACCUCAGGCACCACCUAGGCCCACUAUUCCCCAGCAUCCAGAUCAGCUCUGAAGGUUGUACUCUUGGCCCCACAAUUAAUAAAGAUCCUCAUGUUGGAUACCAGCACCAGGGCCUUUUCUGUAGUGGCCCCACAAUUGGGGAACUCAUUCCAGAGAGAGAUUUGCAAAGCUCUUCACCUCCCAUUUUAGACAUUUUUUUUAAUAUAACUGUUUGACUUCUCCCAAACACAUGUUUUUAAAUGUUACAGGCAGGGGGCUAUUUAAUGAUUUCUGCUUCGGAAAUUUUGUGCUGUUUUCAAAUCACAUUUAUAUUAUGUUUAAUGUUGCUUUAAGCAGUAGAAUAUCAGGAAUGAAAGGGCCCUGCACCCAGCCUUGCAUUUAAAUAAUUAUAGCAUUUCUCUUUUCUCUUGUUUCAUGUGUCUCAGAAUUUUGAAUUGUGUUGUUUUUAUCUAUCUUGGAAGCCACUUAAAUGCUUAUUUUUAACAAGUGGGACCAGCAACAAAUAUUGAGUUCUCCUUCAAGACAAUGAGCUGUGCAUUCCUCCAGGAUCCUCCAUUUCAUUUGAACUCCCUCCCUCUUUUCCAUCUCAACUCUCCAACAGUCCCACAGGAUUCUUUGGGCGUUUCUUUCCCUCCUUAGGUACCCCUGUGAAGGAAAAGUUUGUUUUGCUGGCCAGGUUGGGUCCCCAAGUGUUUUCUUUUUCUUUUUGGCUGGGGUUCCAGGAGGGGGAGUUGAAAAGGAGAGGAUUUGGAGAGACAGUUUGGUAGGUUGGGAGAAUAGGGAGGGAGGGAGAGAGAGAGAGAGAGAGAGUUGCUUCUGGGUGGAAACAUCCACUCUGAGGAAUAUGACAAGCUAGAGAAAGGAGUCUCUGAGCUUAGUGUGAAGGACAGUGUGUGGCAUCCUGUAAAAGUAACAGGCCAGGAAUUAACUGGGAGGCUGAAGCUGAGCCAGGAGAAGUGGAAGCUGGGAAAUGACAGCCCACUUAGGUCUCAUUCCAGUCAGGAGGGGAGCGAUUCUUCUACAAAAAGAGAAGACGCCCAAACCAGUUAAGAGGGCUAUGGAGAUCCCUUGGGUCUGUUACUUGGAGUACCUCAGGAGUAGGGUUGUCAAAGCGGUGUGUAACUGACAGGAAGUACCACCUUGUUUAAGAACCAAAGUAUUAAGGGGCAACAGCCGUGCAACAACUGAGAAAGAACUGAAGUGAAAGAGCAUUAUAAUCUGAAGUAUCCUAUGUUUCACCCACUUGUGUCAUAAACUUCCUUUGUUUAACAAAAUCUUUGUUGUUUAUUUGAUCAAAUCCAAAGUAUUAAGUUUUCCCUCACACAAGGGAAAACCCCCACAAGAUAAUCUGGGGUAGUUUGUAGGAAUUCGUGGAAUUGGUGUUCUGUGAGGAGGGUGCACUAUAUUUAAGUGAGGGCGGGUCCAACGGCGCCAGGGGAAAAAGUGCCGUUGCAUCCCCCCCCCCCAAAUACUGAUUGUACCUCAGCAAAGAAAAAGACCUCUCUUUUGUGCAUGGAUGCUACCAUUCUGGCUACAGAAUGAUCCACAUGCAAAGUAUGAGCUUGUGAUUUAUUGGGGGGAAAGCACUAUACUAAAAACUUAAAUUAAUUCAAAUCAACUAACCGACCUUUAAAGAUAGCAUAUAUUGGAUGGCCCGGCCAAUGCUGAUAUCUAUAUUCUGGCCACCAAAAAUGCACACUCUUUCCAUGUUGCUCUGCUGUCCUGUUGGUUGCAAUCACCAAGACUGGCAGGGAUGAAAGGGCCCUCCAUCCAGCCUUGCAUUGAAAUUAUUAUAGCAUUUCACUUUUUACAUAGCCUGUUCCCUAUGUUUCUAUUGUUUUCAUCUAUAUUGGAAGCCACUCUAAUGAUUAUUUUUCACAAGUGGGACCAGCAACAAAACUUUGCAAUACUGAGUUCUCCUGUUCUGGCUUCAGUCCAGUGAGCCAUGCCUUCUUCCAGGAAACUCCAUUACAUUUGACCUCCUGCCCCAAUGCUCCAUAUUUUCUCUCCAACAGGUACUCAGGAUUCUUUAUACACUGAGCAGACACCAUCCCCAUUGGACUGUUGGGGCUUUUUUCUUUUCUUUCUUAGUUACCCCUGCCCCCCAAGUACAUUUUUGAACUUAUGCAAAGCUUAGGGUUCCCACUCUGGCUGCAAUUUAUGGUGGAGAAUGGGAUACUAAAAAAUUAAAUUAACUCACAUCAACCAACCAACCAAGCAAACAUUAAAUACAGAAUACUUGCUUGCUUACUUACUUAGAUUUAUAUACAACCCCUCGUCACUACCCUCUCAGGGAGUCCAUUCCACUGUUGAACAGCUCUUACUGCCAGAAUGUUCUUCCUAAUUUUUAGUCAAAAUCAACUUUCUUGUAAUUUGAAUCCAUUGAUUCAGGUCCUACCCUCUGUAGCAAUAAAAAACUAGCGAGCUCCAUCUUCCAUGAGGCAGCCCUUCUGAUAUUUAAAGAUGGUUACCACAUCACCUGUUCAUCUAUCCUUCUCCAUGCUAAACAUUCUUAGCUCCUUGAACCAUUCCUCAUGCGGCUCAGGUUCCAGAUAUUUUAUCAUUCUGUUCACCCUCCUCAGCACAUGUUCCAGCUUGUCAAUAUCCUUCCUAAACUGUGGAGUCCAGAACUGGACACAGUAUUCCAGGUGAAGUCUGACCAAUGGAUAAUAGAGUGCUGCUAUUACUUCCCUUGAUGGGAACACUAUACUUCUGCUGAUGCAGCCUAGAAUAGCAUUAGCUUCUCUUCCUGCUGCAUCACACUGUGAAUCAUGUUAAGCUUGUGGUCUACAAAGACCCCUAGAGCCUUUUCAUAUAUACUGCUGUCAAGCCAAGUGUCCUCCAUCCUAUAUUUGUGCGUGUAUAUUUGUGCAUCUUGACACCAGAAACACACCUUCUCUGCAUGUUGCUCUCCAACAGGUUAAAUCCAGAAGCUCCUCCCCUGCUUGAAGUCCCUCUGUUGGUUGCGAUCGCCAAGAAGUACAACAAAAGCCCAGCUCUCGUGGCUAUUCGCUACCAACUGCAGCGCGGCCUGGUGGUCAUAGUGAAGGCCGACACCAGAGAACAAAUUGAGGAAGACGUCCAGGUAAAGGAGCAUAUAUAAAUCCAUUAAAAAACAAUACUGAAAAAACCCAACAUUUGAACACUGUGAACUCACGGGUCACAUAACUCGGCAGUUUAGCUAUACACUGCAUUAAUAAUAAUAAUAAUAAUAAUAAUAAUAAUAAUAAUAAUUUAUUUAUACGCCAUCCAUCUGGCUGGGUUUUCCCAGCUACUCUAGGCAGCUCCCAACAGAAUGUUAAAAGCAUGAUAAAACAUCAAACAUUAAAAACUUCCCUAAACAGGGCUGCCUUCAGAUGUCUUCUAAAAGUCAGAUAGUUGUUUAUUUCCUUCACAUCUGAUGGGAGGACAUUCCACAGGGUGAGUGCCACUACCAAGAAGGCACUCUGCCUGGUUCCCUGUAACUUGGCUUCUCGCAGCGAGGGAACCACCAGAAGGCCCUUGGUGCUGGUCCUCAGUGUCCAGGCUGAACGACGGGUAUGGAGACGCUCCUUUGGGUAUACUGGGCCGAGGCCAUUUAAGGUUUUAAAGGUCAGCACCAACAAUUUGAAUUUGCUCAGAAAUGUACUGGGAGCUAAUAUGGCCCUUUCAGGACCGGUGUUAUAUGGUCUCGGCGGCCACUCCCAGUCACCAGUCUAGCUGCCGCAUUCUGGAUUUGUUUUAGCUUCAGGGUCACCUUCAAAGGUAGCCCUUUUGCAGUAGUCCAAGUGGGAAAUAACUAGAGCAUGCACCACUCUGGCGAGACAGUCUGCAGGCAGGUAGCGUUUCAGCCUGCAUCCCAGAUGGAGCUGGUAGUCAGCUGCCCUGGACACAGAAUUGACCUGUGCCUUCAUGGACAGCUGUGACUACUGAAGUACUAAACUAUAUUUGCUGGGUUGUGACUUCCCUCAUCUUGACAAUUAAUUGGUCAUGAUGGCGAAGACUGAUGGGGAGUUGGAGUCCAUCCACAUCUGGGGGGCCACAGUUUCCCCACUCCUGUUCUAUUGCAAACCAACAUUACUAUGCAUAUAAAAUUCCCUCAGUGGGAGGACAUCUGGACUGAAGCUGUUGAAGGAAGGAAUUGAACUUUGGAAGGUGGUAGCAAAGUUCGCUUUGGUUUCUCUGUUGCUGGAAAACAGUGCACAGCUCUGAGGUGCAAAAAGAAGACAUGAUUAAAAACCACCUCAGCAUUAUUAUUUUUUUCUCCUCCUGACAGGCAUUUACUUUCCAGCUGUCUGAGGAGGAUAUGAAAUCCAUUGAUGGCCUUCACAAAAACAUGAGCUUUUUAAAAUGGGACGUGUAAGUCAUAUUUAAAUUGUAUACAUAUGAAUACAUAAAAGUGCUUCAUGCAAGAAUUCAUACUGCGAGAGCAAAAGGAAGAAAAGAUCUGGCAUCCAUCUCUUCUCUUCAUAGAGAAUUAGGUGAAACUAUAGAAGGAAUUACUGUGGAUCCAUUGUACCAAAGCCCCAUGCAUAGUUGGAAUGGGGUGCAAGUGUAUGGACAAGUGUCCCUGUCAUAGAAUUGUAGAGUUGGAAGGGACACGGGGGUCAUCUAGUCCAGCCCCCUGCAAUGCAGGAAUCUUUUGCCCAGCAUGGGGCUCAAACCCAUGGCCCUGAGAUUAAGAGUUCCAUCCUUACUGACCGAGCUCUCCCAGUAGUUUUUGGCCCUAGACAGUCUUGAAAAAGUCCAGUUUCUGACAAAAUGUAAUGUUUGGGGUGGACUUCUAAUCUCCCCAUAAUUUACCCCAUGGCAAUUCAGGAUCUUUUUCCACUGUAUAAAGCAAGUUGUAGCUUUGCUGCUCCCCCGACAGUUGCUCUGUGCUUUGAAACCAGGCUUCCAAAUACCCUUGAGACCAAUGCCAUACAAUGAUGUGAUGACAUUUCCAGGAACAUUUGAUGGGGGGCGGGAGAUGGCUGCCUCAUGCAUUACUGCCAGUAAGGGACUCCCAAAACAGCAUUUGUCCUUCUGCCCCUACCUGAAAGUCUCGAAAAGACGCUGGGGAAGAGGGGGGAGACCUUUGACCCAACCCUUUUGUACCACUUUGAUCAGCAACCAGGGCUGUGUUCAUCAUCUAGGGGUUAUUUUCUCUAGUGAGAAGACGGACAUAUGAUCAUCCCGAUAUUGCAAGUUUUAGACUGUAAUAUGGUGGACCAUUUUGACUUUCAGCCAGAUAUUCAGCAGAUCAGGCAUUUGAUGGCAAACUCGGGGAGCACUGUGUGAAAUGGUCUCAUGAGGCAAUGGCUAGCAACAGAUCAAUUUUCGUUGCUUGUGCAUCUUCCCUACCCCUGAGUGUACUCUCUUUUGUUUUGUUUCAGAUACGCUGAUCUUUUGUUUUGUUUUGUUUCAGAUACGCUGAACUCUCUUUUGUUUUGUUUCAGAUACGCUGAUCACCCACAGUAUUACCCACCAGAUGUGGAAUGAGGACUCAUCUCUCAUCUCUAAUUCAUCUCCUUCUGAACCUGGGUCCUUUUUCAUGGAAAAAACUGGGCAAAUCUGUGAAUAUCAGUUCCUCCCAGCAUCCCAGCAUCUCAUUUUCCACUCUUCAGUUCCUCACUUUGCCAUAUCAGUUUGGGAUGAAAACAAAAUCCCUUGAAAAUUCAUCAUUGCAGAUUUCUCUUACCAUACACAUUUUUCUUUGCACUUUUGGCUAAAAUAAAGCAUGUUUGCACGGUGUUUUCACUGA